rnacentral:tRNA from 1 species
GCCCCUAUAGUUUAAAAGAAUGUAACUUUUUCAAGGUUAAGGAAUGAGGGGUA